rnacentral:rRNA from 1 species
UACGGGAGGCAGCAGUGGGGAAUAUUGCACAAUGGGCGCAAGCCUGAUGCAGCCAUGCCGCGUGUAUGAAGAAGGCCUUCGGGUUGUAAAGUACUUUCAGCGGGGAGGAAGGCGAUGCGGUUAAUAACCGCGUCGAUUGACGUUACCCGCAGAAGAAGCACCGGCUAACUCCGUGCCAGCAGCCGCGGUAAUACGGAGGGUGCAAGCGUUAAUCGGAAUUACUGGGCGUAAAGCGCACGCAGGCGGUCUGUUAAGUCAGAUGUGAAAUCCCCGGGCUUAACCUGGGAACUGCAUUUUGAACUGGCAGGCUUGAGUCUUGUAGAGGGGGUAGAAUUCCAGGUGUAGCGGUGAAAUGCGUAGAGAUCUGGAGGAAUACCGGUGGCGAAGGCGGCCCCUGGGACAAGACUGACGCUCAGGGUGCGAAAGCGUGGGGAGCAAACAGGAUUAGAUACC